rnacentral:rRNA from 1 species
AGGAUGAACGCUGGCGGCGUGCCUAACACAUGCAAGUCGAACGUCCUGUCUCGCAAGAGGCAGGGAGUGGCGGACGGGUGAGUACCACGUGGGUCAUCUACCGUGAGGUGAGGAAUACCGGCGAGAAAUCGCCGACAAGACCGCAUAGGCUCGAUGCAAGUCGAGCAAAGCUCUUUCGAGAGAGGGAGCGCCACACGAGGAGCCUGCGCCCGAUUAGCUAGCUGGUGGAGUAACGGUUCACCAGGGCGACGAUCGGUAGCUGGUCUGAGAGGACGAUCAGCCACACUGGGAUUGAGAACGGCCCAGACUCCUACGGGGGGCAGCAGUGAGGAAUUUUCGUCAAUGGGGGCAACCCUGAACGAGCAACGCCGCGUGCAGGAAGAAGGUUUUCGGAUCGUAAACUGCUUUUCGUCGGGAAGAGAACGGACGGUACCCGAGGAAUCAGCCCGGCUAACUACGCGCCAGCAGCCGCGGU